rnacentral:lncRNA from 1 species
CCCGGACCCUCGCUGCCUCUGUGAGGGGCUCAUGGCACCCACCCUGCAGACGCUGCAGGUGCAGCGAGCUCGCACUGCAGACUGUGGCCACGGAGCUUGCUGGUGAGCCGAGGGGUUCGCCCUGGGCCUGUCUGACCCCAGCGCCUCCUGCUCUGGGGUCAAGAGGCUGCGUUUGCAGGGGCUGCCUGGGCGACGCCCCAUCGGGUCACUGGGGUGGCCCAGGGUCCUUCCUGCAUGGCUCGGCCUUCGCCGCGGCCUUCACCAUUGGCGGAGGUUGCACGCGUCUGGGCUCCAGCUAGACAGCUCAGGGUCCCUUAGGCCGGUGGCCUUGGAGCUCUGUGUCCCCACACCUGCCGGCUCCGAGGGCAGAGCAGAUGGCGCGAUGACAGAGGAGACCCUCAGACCACGCCCUGCCCCUCCUCCGCAGAGGAGCCAGAUGGCCACACGUGGGGCCCCCCAGCUCAGCGCCAGCACUCCCGGGACAGAGGGGGGCCUUGUGGCCCCCAGGAAGCUAGCCAGGCGGCUGAAGGCGCCACGAUCCAAGUGCAGUUGGGGCCCCGUCUUGCCGGGAGCCCCCCAGCGGAGCCCCAGGACACAGAGAGCUGGUGGUCAGGGGAGCAGAGGUGCAGAGCUGCAGCCGGGGAGAGCCCGGGCAGGGGUGGGGCGUGCAUGGGGCAUGGAGACGGGGAGACAGGUUCCGCCUGCACUUCCGGUCUGCUCACUGCUCCUGGGCGGGCAUGCAGGUCUCACCUGCCCUUUCUGACUCUGACCCACGAUCAGAGACACAGACGAGCGGGCUCAAGGUCUGGCUGUGAGGCCAGCAGAGGGCCCUGCCCUGAGCGUGGGCUGUCCCAGCCCUCUGGGAAUGGUGACCUCCCGUCUGCUCCCUGAGCCUGUGGGACUGGGACCAGACACCUCCAAAGACAAGCCCCCAGGAGCCCUGUGCUCUGAGGGCCACCUCCAAUGGCGGCCGAGGACUGGCUGGGGUGCUUUCCAAGCAUGUGCGGUGUUGGCCGAUCCCUGGGGGGGUUCCCUUGACAGCCAGCCUGGGGAGGAGGCAGGAGGCUGGGCCCCCCUUGGGGGCUCCCCAGAACUCCUCCUCUAACGUGCUUGCAGGACAGAGGCCUGUCUGCAGGAGCCGGGGGUCGCCUCUGCCCGUCUGGAAGACGCCUGGCUGGCCGCCUCUCCAGGUGCUGCCCCGCCCCCGGCCCCUCCCUCUCCCUCUCCAGCCCACUUAAGGGUCCUCCCAGACCGGCUUCCACGAACCCCCGGGGUGACGGCCUCAGCUGGUCUGGGG